AGCGAACGCUGGCGGCAGGCCUAACACAUGCAAGUCGAACGAGGUCUUCGGACCUAGUGGCGGACGGGUGAGUAACACGUGGGAACGUGCCCUUUGGUACGGAAUAACUCAGGGAAACUUGAGCUAAUACCGUAUGUGCCCUUCGGGGGAAAGAUUUAUCGCCAUUGGAGCGGCCCGCGUCUGAUUAGCUAGUUGGUGAGGUAACGGCUCACCAAGGCGACGAUCAGUAGCUGGUCUGAGAGGAUGACCAGCCACAUUGGGACUGAGACACGGCCCAAACUCCUACGGGAGGCAGCAGUGGGGAAUCUUGCGCAAUGGGCGAAAGCCUGACGCAGCCAUGCCGCGUGGAUGAUGAAGGUCUUAGGAUUGUAAAAUCCUUUCUCCGGUGAAGAUAAUGACUGUAGCCGGAGAAGAAGCCCCGGCUAACUUCGUGCCAGCAGCCGCGGUAAGAC
rnacentral:rRNA from 1 species